UAGGUUCUUAUUUCAGUUCUGGAUGUGCU
rnacentral:piRNA from 1 species